GUUCAUUUGAGGGGGAGCUUACGUGGUUGUACUCUUUUUACCUUACUAUGGUUUUUCCCAUUGGGUUUUCCUGGAAAGGUUUUUAACGAGGCAACAAAGACGUUAAGCGAGAGCGGAUAGUGACACCGGCCCCCAAGGGGGAGUGUUACGAAAGUCAAAAAUAAGGUGCAGUCGUGUUUCGUUGAAAAUAUAAAAAGAUGUGGGGCCCACUGCACUAUUUGCACAGUAAAUUUCUUUCUAUAUAUACAAACGUUUUCGUUCAUUGUAAAACACGCCUCAAUCUCUUCUCUCUCUAUAAUAAGAAACUCUCUCUUCCUAUAUCAGUGUUAAAAUUUCUAUGGGUAUAAAAUUUUGCCCUUAUCUAAAUUUCUGCGAUACAAUAAAAUACAAGUUCUUUUUAUAACAAUUAUAUCUUAUUUGCAUUAUCAUACAAGACUUUUUAGAAAAAGUAAAAUAACAUUGAAGUCAAUUAUUUGGACGUCACUUUUGAACAUGUGACAUAUAGCUUUAUGUUUCGUAGCGUGUACCAGUAGACAGUAGUUAAAAAAUAUUCUGAACUCUAGUUUCCUUUUUAAUAUUCUCAUCAAUACUUUACUACUCCCUGGUUUUUUAUAUUUGAUGCUUUAAGAUUGUGCACAUAGAUUAAAAACAUUUAAAUUUCUAAACAAAAACAUCAUUAAUUGUUUACUUAACUACAAUUUAACCAAUAAUAAAAUAGAAAUUAUAAUACCAUUGUUCAUCUAGCAUUAAUUAGUAAUAAAAUUUACAUAGAAAAUUGAAAACGUCAAAUAAUUUGGUAUAAAAAAUUCCUCUAAAACGUUAAAUAUAAAAAAACGGAAGGAGUAUUUUAUUAAUUCAGUGAUAAGGAUUGAUAAUCUGAGAGACGUGUAUCUUUAGUUCUUUACAUGUUCUUCUCUUCAUUCGAGAAAGAAGUUCGCCUACGAAAAGAGCUGGAUCUUCUAAUAAGUUUGACGGAUGAACUAUUUUAUGAUUAAAUUAACUGUGUUUUAAAAAGAAAAUUAUAUUUUUGGCCAGUGAGAUAUUUAAAAACCGGUUCUUAAUUUUUUUAGUUAAAAAUUAAGAGACAGUUUUUUAUAUUCUGCUAAGAGUUUCAUUCUAAGAAUCUUCCAUUAAUCAUGCUAUUAUAUUUUUUUUAGUUGCUUCUGUCUUUUUCCUUCCACCUCAGAUUCAAAUAAAUUAUUAUCAAACGAAAUUCUACACCACUCUCACAAGCCUAACGUCCUUGUUCUUGAUAAAGCCUAUCACCCUCUGUUGACACCAGACUCCAGUUAAAGUGCUCAAGAGAAACCCAAAAAGAUGUAUUCAACGCACCAGAGAAAUCGUUGUUGAGAGAAAUUUCCGUAAGAUAUCUCCAGUGAGGAAUCAGGUCCACUACAUGUGAAAUAACUGAAGAUAUCUUGGAGAAUUUUUCUCAACAACAGUGGCUCUAUGUGUGAGUUCAUUGAAGCGGAAUGCGUCAGAUGUUGAAACCUGAAGCUCACCGGAGCUGACCCCCCCCCCCCGGACACAAGGAGGACGGUCGGCGAGAGGAGAGAUUGGAGUGGAAUUCGAUCGGCCUUAGAGAACAGUGAGUUCCCAGAUCUGACCGGUUAGGAAAGGGAGCCAUCAGUUAAAGGGUUUUGUAUCUUGAUAUGGAAUUGUGAAAAGAAUAAACCCAAGAAGAAACGAUUAUCCCUCCCAAGAACAGGGGGCGCCGUCGUCGACUUCUCGUUACUGCUCCGGCGGUGGGGUCUCUCGACGCCGUCGGGAGCGGUUCAUCUUCGGAUUCUCUUGUCUUCCUCGUCGUUUCUGUAGUUUUCGCUCAGAUCUGCGGAGCCUCCUCUCUCGCUUGUGUUGAGAUGGAGAUCCGGUCGGUUCAGGUUCUGUCGACAUCUUCUUAGUCAAGGUUCGUGGUCAUGAGCUAAACCCGUCCGAUUCAUUUUGGGCGGGCUACGGACGUGCCCAAUUAAUAAAUGGUCCAACUGGACAAAAGACCAAUUAGUACAUAGUCCAAUUGAGCAAAGACCAAAUAGACAAUGGGUGUCUAUGAGCUUCAUAAAACAUAAUUUCAUGAGUUUAACAAAAGAAAACAUAGCUGUACAAUUUAACCCAAAAAAACAGUUUUAUCGUUAAAAUAAAAAAUUAACUAUUUUGAUGUAAAAUGUAGUUUUACUAUUUUGACGGAAAACCUAAUUUCUUAGGUUAUAACACAUUAUAUAUUACUUAGGUCUCUUUGAAUUCUGGAUGUGCAAUAGUUAUCCCUAAUAAGAAAAAAAUUCAUAUGUUGAAUUGAUUGCUAAGUUGUAACGCUCUCCGGCCUAAGUAAUAUAUAUGUUGAAAAAACUUCAUAUGUUGAAUUGAUUGCUUAGUUGAAUUCUGGAUGUGUGAAACAAAGCGUUUACAAAGAGAAAAAGAGUGUUACAGUUGUCGACGUUUCUCGAACUGAGACUCAUGGCUAUGUGGGUCAAGCCAGUCUCUUGAAACGCCUUUUGACACAUUAGUUCCGUUCUCAACCCCGCCUACAAGAUCUUUUCCUUGAGCUUCUACUUAAACCUCUGCUUCCUGCUCGAUGCGUUACCGUCUUGUAGUUGCGAAGGAGGAGCUCCUCCGUGUGGUCCUAGGUGGAUGUUAUCUUCAGCUUUAAUCUACAAAAAACAUUGAAAGAGAGGUAGCUUCUUAAAUACCUUUGACACUCCUCCUCUAUGGAUCUUUUUAUUUACAGAACAAACCAAUCAACCACUGACUUUAGGAGAAGAUGUAUCAGCUUGUGAAUCAUCAUUAGCAUUCUCUUGUUCAAUCUCCAAGCUUGGAAUCACAAACCCAUCAGUGUCUGUACCCAAAUCAAAUGAUCGAUUCAACGUUUUGGAAUUGAACAAGCUGAUGCAGAGAUUGGAACAAUGCUCUGAGAGUCACAAAGCAUAGAUUUUUAACUUGUGCGUCAACAAAAGCAUACAAGUUUGAAGAUUCGAGAAGACUCUUAUAAAAUGGAAUUUAGGGUUUCAAAGCUUGGAGAAUGAAUCAAGAACAUGUUGGAGAGUAUACGGUCACAUGAGUAGACUUUGAGAUAAACAAAUGUAAUCGAACGAUUUUUAAAGAAACCUAAUUAACUUAAUACAUGUAAUGUGUUGAAGACCGGUCGGAUCCGGAUUCGGUUAUUGCAAUGGGCAAGGUGGAAACUAAAGUAUACUCGAAUGCUAUUUUUUUAUUUUACCAAAACAAAAAAAAAACCUAUUGGAUGUUCAAAAAAAAAACUAAGAAUGUUAUUUUGUAGAAUACAUCAUUUCACAAAGUUAAAUAAUAAUUAUUUAUUCUAUUAAAAACAUACAAUCAAGUGAAAUUAAAAUUAAACAAGAGAUGUUAUUACAUGUAUUUUAAUCAUUUUUAUAUUUAUUAUAUCAAAUUAAUAAACUACAAUAUCUAAAUUUAAAAUAUUUUAUUUCCUAUUUCAUUACAAAAAAUUAAAUUUUUUUAUUUUAUUUAAAAUAAUAAAUUAAAUAUAUUAAAAAUAUUAGGAUAUAUAUUAUUUCAGUUUUAAUUUCGAAAACAAAAGAAAAACAAUUAUUUAUAUAUACAUAUAUAUUCAAUAAAUAAUAAAUUAAUAAACCGGAUAUUAUGGGUAUAAGGUAAUUCAGUCCAACUCAAUUUUGAAAUAACCGAAUUGAACCAGACUGGAAAAUGAAAGAUAUUUGAAUAGAAAACUUAGAGCAUUAUUAACCUCGGUUUCUUAGCCGAUAUUCUUGACUCAUGAUUUGAUUUUUUUUUUCCGUUUCAGCUAAGAGACGGUUCUUAUAUCUCUUAUUUAAGAGACAGUUUUUAACUUUUCUUAGUUAAAAUCUAAGAAAAAAGUAAGAAUCGUCUUUUAUCCGAAGCUAAAAACCCAGUUAAGAGACCAGAGUUAAUGAUGAUCUUAGACAUCUCCAUCUGGAGGUUUAGGGAGAGAUUCUUAAG